GUUGAAACACUGAUUCCAGUAUGAUCUCUGAAGUUAAGUAACAUUGAGCCUGGUCAGUACCUAGAUGGGUGACCUCUGGGAAUACCAUGUGCUGUAAG